CGUUAGGUGCUUUUAAGCACCACUUAGUUUUUAAAUCCCAUUUUC
rfam:Myotis brandtii contig228652, whole genome shotgun sequence.